GGGUUAAAAACACAGAGAACCUGUUUAUAAAAGUAAUGUAUAGUGAUAAAAAAGUUUUCCCCCUUGGGUUUAGGCUAGCACUGGUCAUUUUUUUAGUAAGGACAGUUUGAAACAGCAGGCUUUUGCAGCAAAGCAGCUGUCAGCAAAAACAGCCUCUGUAAGCCAGUAGAUCAGAGAUAAGAAGGCUGCUUCUUUGCCUGCUUUUUAACAAAUACAAGUGAAAGUUCUAUUAAGUUUUGUUGAGGAAUAAACACUUUCAAAGACAAGCCUAUAUGAAGACCAAGCCCUUUAUUUAACAUUUUUACAUGCGUGUUUCAAUUUAAAAAAAUGAGCAUGCAGAAAACGCCCCAGAGUGAAAACCACAGAACCUUAGUAACAGCUAGUUUAUAUUCCCCUUAUUCUGUAACCCAGUAGGUCAGAAAGAAGUUUAUUUUCCUCCCCACUUUUUAACAAAUCCAUGUGAAAGUUAUAGUAAGCUUUUAUUUUCCUACGGCUUUUAGAUUUAAGUAUGAAUUUUUCUGUUGCAUUAUCAGAAUGUCUUUGUUUUUAAAUGUUUGCAACCCAUGUGCUGAGACACUGGUACAAGCUCCUCUGUUUGUUUUGGGUCCACAUAUUUUAUUAAAAUAAUACAACACAGGCUGGAGCUGGAGCUUUCUCUACAUUUUAAAAACAGAUAGUACAGGCCUAUAGAAUAAGCGUCCCCCGCUGUUUUGGCAUUCUGUGGAGCAUCUGGUUUUGGGUCUGGGCAAAAACAAAUCAGGCCCAAACUGUUCGGUCCUUCGGAGCUGUCGGUGUCCAAAAUCUCCAAGUCCUCUGAAGAACCAUCGCUCAGCUGCUGAAAAAUUGACAGUAAGAAAGGCGUGUCCCAUAGCAGCGACCGUAUGACGUCUCUUCACGAGAAGCUUGAUUGCCGGUGUUGGCCAGGGCCUUUGAGGUGCAGCCAUCUUUAAUCAUCAGACCCGUUUAAAUAGAAGCUCCUCCUUACAACGGCAGCCCUAAAUAAUUGGCUAAGAGUAUCAGGCGCCCUCCCUCCCUAAAAGGCUCCGGAUUUCGUUUGUCGCUUCUGCUAUAACUGCUGUCCUGGGAACGGUGGAUUUGGGUUCUGCUGCUCUUCAUGACCCCCUUUGCCGGUCACACUACGGGCACCGCAAACCUCCCCAACCCUGCCUGGGAGCAGAGCCACGCCAGCCUGGGGCCGAAAUCGCCUGCACCGAGCAACUGGGCUCGGGAAGGGCGGACUCUAACUCUCCUGCUCAACCCCAAUAAAGUGUCUGUCUAGA